GCAGUGGUGGUUCAUUGGUAGAAUCCUCGCCUUCCAUAUGGGAGAUCCAGGUUCGAUUCCAGGCCAAUGUG
rnacentral:tRNA from 1 species